rnacentral:tRNA from 1 species
CCCUGAGUGGUAAAACCAGUUAAUGUGCUUGGCUGCUAACCAAUAGAUUGGAGGUUUGAAUCCACCCAGAGGCA